AUGUAAUAAUGUAGUACAUAAAAAAAUAUUUUAUGGUAUCUUUGAUAAGUAUAAGGCCAUGAUAAAUUUUAAAACUAUAAGUUGAGUAUAUAGAUAUAUACAUACAUAUAUAUAUAUAUUGUAAGCUUAUAUGAUAUGUACUUUCAUAUUUAAGAUAUAUUUACUGAUAUGAUAAGCAUUUUAAAAAUAGAUGGGUUAUUGUUUGAAAGGAUUAUAAAAUGAUGAACACCUCCCAAGUAAUGAUGUCAUAAUUUUCAUAUAGGAAGAGUAGAAAUGUUUUGUCAUUACAAAAAAGAGUCAUAUAUAUGAAUUGAGGAUUUAUUCAAAUAUUUUAUUUUUUUAAAAGUGAAGAUUUUGUGCAAAUAUGAUUAAAUGUUAAUGUUUAUAGAAUUGUGAGUAUAGAUGAAAUUUUUUGACUCAGAUAAAUUAUAAUUAGUAUAUAUAAUUUUUUAUUAAAGUUAAUGUAUUAUGCAUAUUAUUAAAUUGUUGUAAUUAAACGUUGGAUGUAUUAUUAUAAUAGUUUAUAUAUGAAUUAUAUUUUGUAGCACACAUAAAUUAUGAUAUUUUUUAAAGGCUUGUUUGUGAAAGGUACAUUACAAUUUCAAUGUAUAUAAAUUAAGAUAAUCAUAAAUUAAAUUUUAAAUAGUGUUAUGUUUAAAAUUAUACACAUUAUAAUUUUUAUUAAUUUCUUUAAAAAAAUAAAAAAUGUUUUACGUUAUAUAAUAUAAUACACAAACACACACACAAGAAAAAAAAAAAAA